UGCGCUGGAUUAUGACUGAA
rnacentral:sRNA from 1 species